rnacentral:rRNA from 1 species
UACGUAGGGGGCGAGCGUUGUCCGGAAUUACUGGGCGUAAAGGGUUCGUAGGCGGCUUGGCAAGUCCGAUGUAAAAGGCAGUAGCUUAACUACUGUAAGCAUUUGAAACUGCAUAUCUUGAGAAGAGUAGAGGUAAGUGGAAUUUUUAGUGUAGCGGUGAAAUGCGUAGAUAUUAAAAAGAAUACCGGUGGCGAAGGCGACUUACUGGGCUCAUUCUGACGCUGAGGAACGAAAGCGUGGGUAGCAAACAGG